AAGUCAGCCCACGAGGCAUGAUCCACCCUCCAGCCCGCAGGAACAAUCCCCUGACCUUACUCAACCUUGUAUCGCUGCCCUUGCCCAUCACACACCCGAGUGCCGGUCCCCACUGCGGCAAGCUGGCGAUUCUUGCAAUCCUCCGCGAGUCCACGUCCUUCGCAAUUAAUUCGUCGCCGCCACUCGCUAGGACAUCAGGGCUAGCCCCCGACGGUCAGUGCUCCGACGGCCCCGCGCUCUCAUCAGUCAUCAGGUCGUGGCCUCAACAAGCUACAGCUCUAUGUACCAAUGGUUAAAGAGAAACACAUUUAUUCGUUUUUCAAAAGGAAAAGAGAUGAGCCAAUUGUGGAUCAGCCUUUGCCUCCUGCCUCAUUAAUUGAAUUAGAACAAAGGCAAGAUGAAGAGCAAGCAGAUGAACAAAGGCAAGAUCAACGCGAACCUGUUAUAUUUCAGGGUAUUGAAUUCCUACAGCGAGAUCCAGCAUUAUGGCCACAAAUUUGGGAGUAUCCAAGUAACCAGCAAGAUGAAGUACGACGGGCAUAUUUGAAGUUAGGUCCAAUGCAGCCCAAACUGAAUAAAUAUAAGGGUUGGGGACCAAAAGGGCAUAAACGCCAUUUUCAAUACAUUUGGUUCAGUUAAUAUCCAUCUUGGUUGGAGUACUCAGAGAGUAGUGGUCGUGCAUAUUGUCUUCUUUGCUUUGUGUCCAGCAAAAAUUUAAAGAGAAGAGAAGUGGUUUUGAUGUCUUCACAGCAUAAUGUUUCAACAACUAUAAGAAAGUUCAUGAUGGCAAAAAAUGUGGAUUCUUGGUUCAUAUAGGAUCUGAUCCUUGCUCAGCACACAACAAUGCAGUGACAGAAUGUCAUAAUCUGCUGAAUCAACCGAAUCAUAUAGUUAACAUUGUGGAAGUGGCAAGUGAUCGGGACAAAGAAAGAAACUGUCUACGGCUGAGAACAUCACUUGCAGCUGUAAGGUGGAUAACAUUUCAAUCUUGUUCUUUUAGAGGCCAUGAUGAGACACCUCAGUCAAGGAACAUAGGAAACUUUAUUGAAAUGUUAAAACUUCUUUCUGAAUUUAAUUCGGAAAUUGCAAGUGUUGUGUUAGAAAAUGCUCCACAAGUUGCUAAGUACACAUCACCAGAUAUUCAGAAGGAAAUCUUGAGUAUUUUUGCUAUGAAAGUCAGGAAGCAUAUCCGUGAGGAAAUUGGGGAUGCAAAGUUCUCUAUUCUUGUGGACAAAACAUGUGAUGUUGCAAUUUUUUUUUCAGAAAUUGGUCUUUAUUGUAAACACAGUUGACUCAUCAUCAAAGCGUCAUGAUGAGCUCCAUGAUGCCCAAAUGGAUGAACUUGCACGCUCGCUAGCUGUUGAUGACCUUGAGAUAGGACAAGGAGCAAAUCAAAUAUGCUCUUUGAAACGUCCAGGAGAGACUAGGUGGGGUUCACACUUCGGUUCUGUUGCUAGUCUUAUGGAUGUGCUCAAAUCCUGUAAGUUGAGUUCUACAAAAUUUAGCUGCCGAUUCAUCAACUGGAGCAAACCGUGCCAAUGGAGAUACUGCUUUCAACAACCUGAUAUCUUUUGAGUUUGUAUUUAUCCUACUGAUGAUGAGAGAAAUAAUGGAGAUCACAGAACAACUAGGUCAAGCUUUACAAAAGAAAAUACAGGACAUAGUAAUAAAUGACAUUCGUCUUGUGCAAUCCACAAAAGUUCUACUUGAACAAAUGAGAUUAGAUGAUGGCUGGGAAACUUUUAUUUGUAAGGUUGUUGAGUUCUGUGUGGGUCAUGGAGUCGACAUUCCAAACAUGGAAGGAACUUACAUUAUGCAUGGUGAUCGAGCUCGCCGUCAACCAGAUCAUUUUACCAAUGAACGCUAUUUUCGAGUGGAGAUAUUUCGGGCAACAAUUGACACUCUGUUGGCUGAAUUAAACCUGAAGUUCAAUGAGAAGGUGCUGGGUCUUUUGUCCAUCAGUGUUACAUUGAUACCAAAAAUAGAUUUGCAUCUUUCAGUGCUAUGCAAAAUGGUUGAGAAGUACUACCCGGCAGAUUUCAACCAACAAGAAAGGCUUAGAUUAGAGAAUCAGAUGAACAAUUUUAUUGUUGAUGUUUCAAACAGUGAAUUGUUGAAAAAUAUUGCAACCAUUGCUGAGCUAUGUCGAUGCCUUGUUGAGACAGGACGCCAUAAUACUUUUACCAUGAUUGAUCGAUUGCUUCGGUUGCU